rnacentral:rRNA from 1 species
UACGAACCGUGCGAACGUUAUUCGGAAUCACUGGGCUUAAAGGGCGCGUAGGCGGGUUGCCAAGUCUGUGGUGAAAUCCUCCGGCUCAACCGGAGAACUGCCGUGGAUACUGGCGACCUCGAGGGGGGUAGGGGCUUGCGGAACUGUGCGUGGAGCGGUGAAAUGCGUUGAUAUGCACAGGAACUCCGGUGGCGAAGGCGGCGAGCUGGACCCUUUCUGACGCUGAGGCGCGAAAGCCAGGGGAGCGAACGGG